ACAUACUAAGAACUCUCCAGAGAUGGAUUGGUGCCUUCGGGAACUUAGAUACAGGUGCUGCAUGGCUGUCGUCAGCUCGUGUCGUGAGAUGUUGGGUUAAGUCCGCAACGAGCGCAACCCUUUUCCUUAUUUGCCAGCGGGUAAUGCCGGGAACUUUAAGGAUACUGCCAGUGACAAACUGGAGGAAGGCGGGGACGACGUCAAGUCAUCAUGGCCCUUACGGCCAGGGCUACACACGUGCUACAAUGGUCGGUACAAAGGGUUGCUACCUCGCGAGAGGAUGCUAAUCUCAAAAAGCCGAUCGUAGUCCGGAUCGCAGUCUGCAACUCGACUGCGUGAAGUCGGAAUCGCUAGUAAUCGCGGAUCAGAAUGCCGCGGUGAAUACGUUCCCGGGCCUUGUACACACCGCCCGUCACACCAUGGGAGUUUGUUGCACCAGAAGUAGGUAGUCUAACCGCAAGGAGGACGCUUACCACGGUGUGGCCGAUGACUGGGGUGAAGUCGUAACAAGGUAAGCGUAGAUGA
rnacentral:rRNA from 1 species